rnacentral:tRNA from 1 species
GGGUAUUUAGUUUAUUUAAAAAACGAAUGUUUUGAAAACAUUUAAAGGAUUAUAUAUCCAAUCCCCA